rnacentral:rRNA from 1 species
AUAACAAUACAGGACUCUUUUGAGGCCCUGUAAUUGGAAUGAGUACACUUUAAAUCCUUUAACAAGGACCUAUUGGAGGGCAAGUCUGGUGCAGACCUAUGCGUGCUGCAG